ACAAGUGAAUUUAAGAAGGAAAUUGUUUUGUAUUUAGUGCUUCUCUUUUCAUAGAUCCAUGUUUUAGUUUCUAUUUAUCUGAUAUAUUUUAUUUUGAUAUUUACUAGCUCAAUUUUAGAAAUUGUAACAUGUAUAAUUCUAUGAGAAGUUAGAUAAAUGAAUCUUAUGUUGAUCAUGAUUGUGGUCGGACAAUGGUCUAGAGAGAGAUAUAUCCAAGUCUGAUAAUCCAAGAUAAGUUUAAAAUUGAAUUUCACAUUGGUUGUUAAGUUUGAGCUUUAAAUGGAGAUUUUUAGACAGCCAGUAUCAUAAAUAAGUAUAAGAUCAAAGGGAAAAGUUGUAGUUUUAUCAUGAUUGUGAAGGAGGUAAAAGAGGAGGAACAAAAAAGUUCAAAAGCAAGCAAUUAUUACCUUGAUUCAUUUAGUGAAUCCUCUCUCCUUAUCUAGGAUUUGCUACACGUGGGUGUUGUCACUAUUUAUAAAAGGAAUUUACUACGUAUCAUAUCCAUUAUUGAUAUCCUUUAAUUUUACCAGUGUAGGCCAUAUGAAUUGAGAAAAAAAAGAUAAAAGAAUUACAAAGCAAGCACUGUGAUCUUUAAACAUGAGAUAAUAAGACAUGUAUUAUUGUAUCAUAAAGUGUUCCAAAACAUUACUAAUUUAAACAAGUUUUUUGAGCCCCUAAUUUCAUAUUUUCCUGUUGAUCUGAGUAUAUAUAACAUAAAUUUAUCAUAAAAAGCUGACUUCAAUCUGAAUGUAGCUAUGUCCUUGUCAUGCAUUGCCGGGUCUGGCCUUGGUAUUAAGGUGAUGGUUUGAGUAGUAUUUUUUGUCAAGAAAAGGUGUGGACCCACGACAAACUAGUUUUCUGGAGGGAACAUUUCCCCUGAAAACUUAUAUUGCCUUUGUAAUGAGGUAGUGCAUCAUGAUUCAUAUGAAAGCAUGAGACAACCAUGAACUUUUCUUGUAAACUAAACAGUUGAGUAACUAAUCUUUCAUUGACCACCAAAUGGAGUAUCACUAAAGGGUUUGUGAAGUUGUAGAUCGAUCAAAAUUAGUAUGCGGAUUACAGAGAUUUAUGGUGGCAAACAACCCUGUACCCCCCCAUGCCAAUGAAUCCUGCUUAUAUGAUGUGGGUUCUAACUUCAAGGGAAAGAAAUGAUGUGUGCAGUUAAUUAUUCGAACUUACUGCAUCAACUAUAUCUCUACCUCUAAUCAUUGGCACAAAGAAAUUGAACUUGCAUCCAGAUGUCCAAAUUCAAAGCAGCCUCUGCUCUGCUUUUUUUUUUUUUUUUCUACAUGCUCUUAGUAAUUGUUAUUUCUUCAAUUUUACUGAAAAUUUCCCACACUUGGUCCGACUAAUUUUAUCACAGGAAAUGGACUUAUGUUGGGAAACUUGUGUAAGAGCUUCAAAGCUGCUUCAGGUUAGGGAGUUAUAUGGUAAUGUUAUUCCAUU